rnacentral:rRNA from 1 species
GACGAACGCUGGCGGCGUGCUUAACACAUGCAAGUCGAACGGUAAGGCCCUUUCGGGGGUACACGAGUGGCGAACGGGUGAGUAACACGUGGGUGACCUGCCUCAAGCUCUGGGAUAAGCCUGGGAAACUGGGUCUAAUACCGGAUAUUCAUGCUUCGCGGCAUCGUGGGGUGUGGAAAGUUUUUCGGCCUGGGAUGGGCUCGCGGCCUAUCAGCUUGUUGGUGGGGUGAUGGCCUACCAAGGCGACGACGGGUAGCCGGCCUGAGAGGGCGACCGGCCACACUGGGACUGAGACACGGCCCAGACUCCUACGGGAGGCAGCAGUGGGGAAUAUUGCACAAUGGGCGGAAGCCUGAUGCAGCGACGCCGCGUGAGGGAUGAAGGCCUUCGGGUUGUAAACCUCUUUCGACAGGGACGAAGCGCAAGUGACGGUACCUGGAGAAGAAGCGCCGGCCAACUACGUGCCAGCAGCCGCGGUAAGACGUAGGGCGCGAGCGUUGUCCGGAUUUAUUGGGCGUAAAGAGCUCGUAGGCGGCUUGUUGCGUCAGCUGUGAAAACCCGCAGCUCAACUGUGGGCUUGCAGCUGAUACGGGCAGGCUUGAGUUCUGUAGGGGAGACUGGAAUUCCUGGUGUAGCGGUGAAAUGCGCAGAUAUCAGGAGGAACACCGGUGGCGAAGGCGGGUCUCUGGGCCGAUACUGACGCUGAGGAGCGAAAGCGUGGGGAGCGAACAGGAUUAGAUACCCUGGUAGUCCACGCUGUAAACGUUGGGCGCUAGGUGUGGGGGGCCUCUCCGGUUCUCUGUGCCGCAGCUAACGCAUUAAGCGCCCCGCCUGGGGAGUACGGCCGCAAGGCUAAA